rnacentral:tRNA from 1 species
GGGGUUGUGGCUCAGUGGUAGAGCACAUGCCUUGAAUGCAUGAAGCACUGGGUUAGAUCUUCAGCACCA